AAAAAGGGCCUUUAUCAUGUUUGGUACUCAGAGCCUAACGGUUCUGGGCGGAAUCACAAUCAGGAGAUUUCGGAGGCAUAAUUUCUUUACUUGGUGGCAGUUGGUACUCUUUAGGUCCGGCGCCCCA